GAGUUUGAUCGUGGCUCAGAUUGAACGCUGGCGGAAUGCUUUACACAUGCAAGUCGAGCGGCAGCGCGGGGCAACCUGGCGGCGAGCGGCGAACGGGUGAGUAAUGCAUCGGAACGUGUCCAUGUCGUGGGGGAUAGCCCGGCGAAAGCCGGAUUAAUACCGCAUACGCCCGAGAGGGGAAAGUGGGGGACCGCAAGGCCUCACGCGAUUGGGUCGGCCGAUGUCCGAUUAGCUAGUUGGCGGGGUAAGAGCCCACCAAGGCGAUGAUCGGUAGCUGGUCUGAGAGGAUGAUCAGCCACACUGGGACUGAGACACGGCCCAGACUCCUACGGGAGGCAGCAGUGGGGAAUUUUGGACAAUGGGGGCAACCCUGAUCCAGCCAUUCCGCGUGAGUGAAGAAGGCCUUCGGUUGUAAGCUCUUUGUCGACGAACGGUAGCGUGACAUCGCUGCCUACUGACGGUACCGGAAGAA
rnacentral:rRNA from 1 species